rnacentral:rRNA from 1 species
CCUACGGGUGGCAACAGUGAGGAAUCUUUGUCAAUGGGCGGGAGCCUGAACCUGCCAAGUCGCGUGAGGGAAUACGGUCCUAUGGAUUGUAAACCUCUUUAGUCUGGGAGCAAUGCCGGGCACGCGUGCCCGGAGGGAGAGUACCCGCAGACUAAGCAUCGGCUAACUCCGUGCCAGCAGCCGCGGUAGUACUGAGGAUGCGAGCGUUAUCCGGAUUUAUUGGGUUAAAGGGGUGCGUAGGCGGAUUUUUAAGUCAGCGGUAAAAUGUCCGGGCUCAACCCGGGCCGGCCGUUGAAACUGGGGAUCUUGAGUGGGCGAGAGGUAUGCGGAAUGCGUGGUGUAGCGGUGAAAUGCAUAGAUAUCACGCAGAACUCUGAUUGCGAAGGCAGCAUACCGGCGCCCGACUGACGCUGAGGCACGAAAGCGUGGGGAUCGAACAGGAUUAGAUACCCCUGUAGUC